UAGAAAGAUUCAUUCUUUGGUGAAGGAUG
rnacentral:piRNA from 1 species